GCCCAGGUUGGUCACGAACUCCUGACCUCAAAUGAUCUGCCUGCCUUGGCCUCCCGAAGUGCUGGGAUUACAGACCUGAGCCACCGCACUCAGCCCUAUUGUGUCCAGAAUUGGUGGGCUCUUGGUCUCACUGACUUCAAGAAUGAAGCCACAGACCCUGGUGGUUUAUUUAACAAUGUGAAGUAGUCCUGGGAAGUUGUACUUUGAGCAAGGUCCGCAAGCAGUAUUCCUGCACUUCUCCAGUCAUGCCCCAGCGCCAGGUCGGAAGCUGUCCACAUGCGGGGAUGGAGCCUGGCGUCCUGGGCCCACAAGGACAGGGCCCUGAAUAUGGACUUAGCAGAACAAAGUUGGGAAGGCAACUGCACUCACCCCUUGUGCCUCCUGUGGUACCUGCCCUUCACGGUUCCUGGUGGGGACACUCAGGCACCAGCUUCAUGGCUGGACUCAGAUGACACAACGCCAGGAAAAAAAGUAAAAGCCC
rnacentral:lncRNA from 10 species